rnacentral:rRNA from 1 species
UACGGAGGGUGCAAGCGUUAUCCGGAUUCACUGGGUUUAAAGGGUGCGUAGGUGGGUUGAUAAGUCAGUGGUGAAAUCCCCGAGCUUAACUUGGGAACUGCCAUUGAUACUAUUGAUCUUGAAUACGUGGAGGUCAGCGGAAUAUGUCAUGUAGCGGUGAAAUGCUUAGAUAAUGACAUAGAACACCAAUUGCGAAGGCAGCUGGCUACGCGAAUAUUGACACUGAUGCACGAAAGCGUGGGGAAUCAAACAGGAGUUAGAAAACCCUG